rnacentral:rRNA from 1 species
UACGUAGGGGGCGAGCGUUGUCCGGAAUUAUUGGGCGUAAAGAGCUCGUAGGCGGUCUGUCGCGUCUGCUGUGAAAUCCCGAGGCUCAACCUCGGGCUUGCAGUGGGUACGGGCAGGCUAGAGUGCGGUAGGGGAGAAUGGAACUCCUGGUGUAGCGGUGGAAUGCGCAGAUAUCAGGAAGAACACCGAUGGCGAAGGCAGUUCUCUGGGCCGUAACUGACGCUGAGGAGCGAAAGCGUGGGGAGCGAACAGG